CUAAGGCAUACUCAUACAUCAUGUUAUGUACUAGGAUGUUUGCACUAGUUCACCAUGCCCAUGCACCAUGUUUAUAUGUUAUAGGAUGAUUGCACUAGUUUCACGAAGGUGACGCAUUGCAUACUAUGUUGUUGAUGUGGAUGAAUGUUGAAUGAUCCAUUAGCCCUUGUAUGUCAUGAUAGCUCAUGUGAGUCCAGGUGUGCCUGCUACGGCUCUACGCCCCUGGCACUAUGACUGAUUAUGGUAGUCCGGGUGUGCCUGCUACGGCUCUACGCCCCCGGCAUGUAUAAGUAAGAAAGAUAGGGGCUAAAUGGUGACAAGUUCAUCCUUGUUGUGAAAUGUUUGUGUUAUGACGCAUUUCAUGAAAGCAUGA
rnacentral:lncRNA from 1 species